AGGUUUUAUAGUUUAAAGAAAAUAUUAAAUUGCAAGUUUAAAGAUGUAUAAAUACUAAGACUUACC
rnacentral:tRNA from 1 species